rnacentral:rRNA from 1 species
UCCACGCCGUAAACGAUGUCUACUAGAAGCUCGGAACCUCGGUUCUGUUUUUCAAAGCUAACGCAUUAAGUAGUUUACCGCCUGGGGAGUACGGCCGCAAGGUUAAAACUCAAAUGAAUUGACGGGGGCCCGCACAAGCGGUGGAGCAUGUGGUUUAAUUCGAUGCAACGCGAAGAACCUUACCUACACUUGACAUACAGAGAACUUUCUAGAGAUAGAUUGGUGCCUUCGGGAACUCUGAUACAGGUGCUGCAUGGCUGUCGUCAGCUCGUGUUGUGAGAUGUUGGGUUAAGUCCCG